AAAUUUAACAUUUUAAUUUAUAUAUUUAAUUUUUAAAUUUAAAUUUUUCAAAGUGUAAAAAAACACUUAUAUUAUAAAAAGACGAUAAGACCCUAUUGAACUUAACUUAAGUUAAACUGGGGUAGUAAAUCAAUUAAUAUUUUAAUAUAAUUAUUAUAAUAAAUAUAUAGUCAUUUAAAUAAUUCAGUUACCAUAGGGAUAACAGCGCAAUUAAAUUUUAAAGUUCUCAUUUAAAAAAUAGAUUACGACCUCGAUGUUGAAUUAAUUACCUAUUAUUUUGAAGCAAAAGUUAAAAAAGGAAGUCUGUUCGACUCUUAAAAAAUUACAUGAUUUGAGUUCAGACCGGUAUAAGCCAGGUCGGUUUCUAUCUUUUAAAAAAACUUUUACAGUACGAAAGGGCCUAAAAAUAUAAUAUAAUUUACUUAUUGGCAGAUAAAUGCAUUAGAAUUAGAAUCUAAUAAUAAUUUU
rnacentral:rRNA from 1 species